UGACCGCUGGCGGUAGGCCUAACACAUGCAAAUCGAACGGCAGCACAGUAAGAGCUUGCUCUUACGGGUGGCGAGUGGCGGACGGGUGAGGAAUACAUCGGAAUCUACUUUUUCGUGGGGGAUAACGUAGGGAAACUUACGCUAAUACCGCAUACGACCUACGGGUGAAAGCAGGGGAUCUUCGGACCUUGCGCGAUUGAAUGAGCCGAUGUCGGAUUAGCUAGUUGGCGGGGUAAAGGCCCACCAAGGCGACGAUCCGUAGCUGGUCUGAGAGGAUGAUCAGCCACACUGGAACUGAGACACGGUCCAGACUCCUACGGGGGGCAGCAGUGGGGAAUAUUGGACAAUGGGCGCAAGCCUGAUCCAGCCAUACCGCGUGGGUGAAGAAGGCCUUCGGGUUGUAAAGCCCUUUUGUUGGGAAAGAAAAGCAGCAGGUUAAUACCCCGCUGUUCUGACGGUACCCAAAGAAUAAGCACCGGCUAACUUCGUG
rnacentral:rRNA from 1 species